rnacentral:rRNA from 1 species
AUUGAACGCUGGCGGCAGGCCUAACACAUGCAAGUCGAGCGGCAGCGGGAAAGUAGCUUGCUACUUUUGCCGGCGAGCGGCGGACGGGUGAGUAAUGCAUGGGAAAUUGCCCAGUCGAGGGGGAUAACAGUUGGAAACGACUGCUAAUACCGCAUACGCCCUACGGGGGAAAGCAGGGGACCUCCGGGCCUUGCGCGAUCGGAUAUGGCCAGGUGGGAUUAGCUAGUUGGUGAGGUAAUGGAGCACCAAGGCGACGAUCCCUAGCUGGUCUGAGAGGAUGAUCAGCCACACUGGAACUGAGACACGGUCCAGACUCCUACGGGAGGCAGCAGUUGGGAAUAUUGCACAAUGGGGGAAACCCUGAUGCAGCCAUGCCGCGUGUGUGAAGAAGGCCUUCGGGUUGUAAAGCACUUUCAGCGAGGAGGAAAGGUUGAUGCCUAAUACGUAUCAACUGUGACGUUACUCGCAGAAGAAGCACCGGCUAACUCCGUGCCAGCCGCCGCAGUAA